AACGAACGCUGGCGGCAUGCCUAACACAUGCAAGUCGAACGAGACCUUCGGGUCUAUUUGCGCACGGGUGCGUAACGCGUGGGAACCUGCCCUUAGGUUCGGAAUAACUCCCCGAAGGGGGUGCUAAUACCGGAUAAUGUCUUCGGACCAACGAUUUAUCGCCUUUGGAUGGGCCCGCGUUGGAUUAGCUGGUUGGUAGGGUAAAAGCCUACCAAGGCGACGAUGCAUAGCUGGUAUGAGAGGAUGAUCAGCCACACUGGGACUACGACACGGACCAGACUCCUACGGGAGGCAGCAGUGGGGAAUAUUGGACAAGGGGCGAAAGCCUGAUAAAGCAAUGCCGCGUGAGUGAUGAAGGCCUUAGGGUUGUAAAGCUGUUUUACACGGGAUGAUAAUGACAGUACCGGGAGAAUAAGCACCGGCUAACUACGUG
rnacentral:rRNA from 1 species